GACUGUAGAAAAUGAGGAGAGGAGAAAAAUAAGACUGAGAAACAUACAACUCAAAGUGCAUGUUCUAAAACCAGAUGACCCAGAAGAGAACCUUAUCAAAGAAUGCAUUAACAAAGAACACAAACAAACAUUCAGGACCACAAAUUGUUCUAGUUUACAAGACCAAAAAAGAGGAUAUAAUAUUUUCCGUUGCAGAAGAUCUGGAAACGUUUUUGAAAGAAGUCACAGAACUGUGGGAUGUAAAGCAUACAUUUCAUUUAAAAUAAGACAUGAUUGGAAAGGACACAAAAUUGUUGUGCAGAGAAUAUUUAACCAACACAAUGGGCAUGAUAUUUCUGAAGAAGAUGGUCAUUUUCAGCAAAUUAACCCUCAGUUAGUGGAGCAGAUUAAGAAGUGGAUCACAUUAGGGGUAAAACCAGAUGUCAUCCUUCUUCAAGCUAAUGAGUGGUCAAAAGCCAAAGGAGCAGCUAAUUAUCAUUCCAGAGAAUACUUUGUUACACCAGAAGACAUACAUAAUAUCCGUACUAGCAUGCUUCGAGGGAAACACCUAGAUAAAGAUGAUUGUAAGAGUACAGACAAGCUAUUAACUGGUCCUUUCAAAGAUGAUGUCAUAUUUUAUCAGCCACUGGGUAAGGAUCAGGACCUUAUUAUUGUUCUCCAGACUGAGUUCAUGAGAAAAGACUUACAAGACUAUGGGAGUAACAUUUUGUUUUUUGAUGCUACACACUGUGUGAAUCAAUAUUCCUUUCCACUCUAUACAUUGCUUGUGAGAGAUGACCAUGGUCAUGGUGUUCCUGUUGCAUACAUAAUAACGAGCAGGGAGACCCAAGAAACCCUUAAGCUUGCACUUCAGAGGCUACGACCUGUGUUCCCUAAGCCGCCAAGGUGCUUCAUGGUUGACAAAGACAUGAGUGAAAUUAAUGCUUUGAAUGAAGUUUUCCCUGAAUCUGAUGUUCUUCUCUGCUGGUACCAUGUACUUCAGGCUGUCGUUCGGUGGUUGAUGAAGACCGAAUCUGGUGUUACUGGGCCACACUUCUCAAAUACCCGGAGAGAAAUUCUAGAUUUCUUUAAAAAAAUGAAAGCUUGUGCAACGAAGACUGACUUUGAAAGGGUUGCAAAAAAAUUUCUUAGCAACUUUUCUCACUACCAAGAGGUUUGCAAGUACUUCCAGAGGUACUGGGAACCAAUAAGUCAAAGAUGG